rnacentral:rRNA from 1 species
CCGCCGCGGUAAUACAGAGGGUGCAAGCGUUAAUCGGAAUUACUGGGCGUAAAGCGCGCGUAGGUGGUUUGUUAAGUUGAAUGUGAAAUCCCCGGGCUCAACCUGGGAACUGCAUCCAAAACUGGCAAGCUAGAGUAGGGCAGAGGGUGGUGGAAUUUCCUGUGUAGCGGUGAAAUGCGUAGAUAUAGGAAGGAACACCAGUGGCGAAGGCGACCACCUGGGCUCAUACUGACACUGAGGUGCGAAAGCGUGGGGAGCAAACAGGAUUAGAUACCCGCGUAGUCCCUGUCUCUUAUACACA